GGGUAAUUACUGAUUCCUUUUUUUUGGAAACUGUAAUUACUGCUUCCUAAACCACCAGACCACGCCCCAGCUUCGUCGCUCUGCUUCUCCGUCCCUGAUCGCAAGUCGCCACCGCCGACCACUGGCCGUGCUAGGUGGACGGCAGUCGGCAGCUCCGUCGUCAGCUUUACGCCUCCACGAGUCCAUGAUCCCAAAUUUGCUGACCUGACAGAGUUGCAGAUUUUGGAGGAUUCUUCGACUGAUGAUCUGGUAGAAAAAGUGUUUCAAUGAUGCUAAAGUUUUUCUGUCUCGGUAUCAAAUCCGCCAAGCAUGAAAGGGAGGCUAGCACUCGCAUCUGUCAUGGGAGAGAAGAUUAACAUCUGGGUGCUGGAAUACAAGGAGCAAAAAUGGAGAAACAUAAAGGUUGUUUUUCCCUUGGAUUCAAUCAUGAAUGGCAACUUUAUUAUUCUUUAUGAAGCAAUAGGCGACAUGUUAUGGAUUUUCGUUAACGAACACCUAGUUGCUUAUAACAUGAGGACCAAUAGAAUCUCCACGCGCUGGGCAGCGCCACCUGGGCUGAAGAUUCAGUUCGUGUAUACACCUUCCUUGGUGCACUUAAAAGGAAUGACUCCGUUUGAAAGAUGCAAGAGGACUCAAAGACACUUGGCCACUUCAUUACUGCCACUGUUGCUUCCUGUUUCAGUGAUGGCUAGGAUGAUGUAAGUUUCAUCAAUGGCUCUCCACAACUCUUUCUCCUUUUAACUAUACUUGCUAGUCUUUGCUUUAACAUUUAACAGUAGGACUUCAGAACUAUUGUUCUUUUCUGUGCUUGUUCUUUUUGAAAACAUCGAUUAUGGUGUGAAUAUCUAACACUUUUAGUCAGGCUCAGGCAGAAAAUAUACCAUUUUCAUGAUUUUAAAAGAAUCUCCAAAUUCUCUC